rnacentral:lncRNA from 1 species
ACUCGGGUGGUGAGAGCCGCCGCUGCACUUCCGCCACCGUGACCUUGUACUUCGAGGUGGAGCUGAGGAGCGAGAGGCGACCCGGAACUGAACAGAAGACUUCGUUGGGGUUCACCACGCCGCCGAAGAGGUUGUCCUUGUUAAUAGGGAUGGCGGAGACGGCAUUGCUGUUGGACUUGGACAGGGACACGGGGCCUGCGGAGACAGAGGGGAGGCCGCGUGUUGGGCGUCGUGGAUCACCCCCAAAUCCUGCCCGACCCCGGCCCUCAUCCCGGCCAGGGCCGGAUCCCAGGCUUUGGGCCACAGUCCCCGCUUUUCCGUCCGGCUCUGAAAUUCUGUGGCUCUGCUACUUCCCUUCCUCGGGCUCGAGCCCUUCCCUACCUCACCCGGCGGCCGGGAGGCGGCCCUGCCCUCCC